UUGUCAAAGUGACAUAUGGGGACAUUUUUAUGAAAUUUCACCUUACAUAUGAGGACCUGUUGAAAUAUGGGGACAUUUUCCAUGUCCCCAUAUUUCCCGCAAUGCUAUCGUGUUCUAGACCCUCCCAGCAUGUUCCCAGACCAAAAAUCUCUAAAGUCUUCAUUUGUCAAAUUUUCAGAAAAAGUGUGUGAAAGUGUGUUUAAUGUUUUUGCUCACUUUCGAUUUUGCCCCUAGUGGCCAUCUUUGCUAUUAUGACACACACACACACACACUUGUCCUCAUAUGUCAUAUGUCCUCAUAUGUCAUGUGGGUCAGAAACUCACACACUCCAACAUUUUGAAAAACAUAUAAUCAUUACAGCAAUGAACAUACUUUUGAAAUCUAAAUCAAAUAACACAUUUUCAACUGAUCUGAUGAUCUCAACCUUUUUUAUGUUAGUUUUAUCUAUUCAUUUGGUUUAUCUGGAGAGGAUUUGGGCUAGACAAUCAAUAAUAAAGGGAUUAUGGUGAUGAUUUAAUCGGUUUGAUUCAGUAUUUUACUGUAUUGGGCUUUUUUCUAUUCUGUUGUCUAAAAUACAAUGCCACACAAUAAUUACUUUAAAUGUGCCUGAAAAAAAACCUUCAACCUUGAUUGAGACAAAGGCGAUAAUUCAAAUGGAAUUCAAACUACAUACAGUAUUUAAUAUUUUCAAAUGGUUACAAUAGCACAUGAUUUUGGUAUUUUUAUCUUUGGGACAAAUUUUGGAUUCAAUUGGGGAUUGUUUUUGGAGGUAUUCACUUCACAUUGUGUUCAAGAUGGUUACUUCCGCCCACUCUGAAGAGUCUCGGCGUCUGAUUGGUCCAAUUUUCAGUUAGGCGCCGCCUGAUUGGCCGUUGGAUGAUGUCUGAUCCUAACAGAGGGCUAAAUCACUAGUUAAUUAUUUUCCUCAUGGAAGUUAUACAGCUCACGUAUCACACUUAAUAUUGAAUAUAUAUAAAAAGGGUUUUCCAAAAGGACCAUUUAUAAUCAAAAUACAAAACUUCACACACGAUUUUGAGCACAACAGAGCGCUCAGUGAACAUCACUUCCGGGACCUGCAUCACCGGAGGGGGACAUCUAUCUUGGCCACAAACCAUCUUUGACAGUCUUCGACAGCAUGGUUGAAUCAGGUGAGCAUAAAAUGGAGUUUAACGUAAUUAAAUAGACCAAUGUUUUUUAACAUAGGAAAAUAGUUCAUUGUAAACAACAGUUAAAUGUUUGUUGUUAUUAAUUGCAAUCAGAUUUGAUUUUAUGAGGUCAAAUUAAGCAUUUCAAUUCUGGGCCAAGGCCAAGGCAUUUAAAUUUUUUUUUUUAAAGUUGCAUGGAAGAUUAUAAGUAGCAGUGAUUGUCACACACACACUAGGUGUGGUGAAAUUAUUCUCUGCAUUUGACCCAUCACCCUUGAUCACUAUGCUAGUAAACCUUUUCUUAAUUUUAAACAAGACAGACUAGAGUUCUUCAAAUUGUUUAUACUUUUUCUCAAAUACAAAUAUUUCAAGCUGAUAAGCCCUGUGGAGUAGGCAUGUUACUGAUAUUGUUACAUUAGUACUUUGUUUGAGAAGCUUCAUGUCUGCACUGAUCCUAAAUUUAACAGUUUUUGAAGGGUUUGGUUCUUUGUUUUAUUUCUGUGUCACUGACUUUUUUCAUUUUUAUGUGUGGAUUUGUUAGGCGCAUCAACACAUGAUAUAGACAUCGUGCCCAAAAGAAGAGCGAGACGUAAUCCUGAGGCUGAAGCUACCGCGUUUAUUUGAUCUGGAUGUGACAAGUCUUGUUUUAAGGCCCAGUGGAUCAAUGAUUGGAAAGACACCAACUGUUGAUGUUCUAUCUCAACAUUCUCCAGACUCAUGUGACCGAUAAACCGACUUCAUCCCUCCAACAGGUUAUUACUUGACUAUUUUACUAUCCACCCAUCCAUCCAUUUUCUACUACCUGUCCCUUUUUUGGGUUGGCGGGGUGUGCUUGAGCCUAUCUGAGCUGCAUUCGGGCGGAAGGCGGAGUACACCCUGGACAAGUCGCCACCUCAUUACACGGCCAACACAAAUAGACAACAUUUACACUCACAUUCACACACUAGGGCCAAUUUAGUGUUGCCAAUCAACCUAUCCCCAGGUGCAUGUCUUUGGAGGUAAGAUGAAGCCGGAGUACCCGGAGGGAACCCACGCAGUCACGGGGAGAACAUGCAAACUCCACACAGAAAGAUCACGAGCCCAGGAUUUAACUCAGGACUACUCAGGACCUUCGAUUUGUGACGCACAUGCACUUACCGCGGUCCCACCGUGCUGCCCUAUAUCUGCUAAAAACUUGACACAACCUAUACUUCAAAAGACAUUUAAUCCUUUUAACCUCUCACAGAUCAGUUUAUAUGACAACAUUUUUUAAGCGUACAUCCAUGUUAGUCUGUGGAAUUUACAACUCAUGUUUAGCAAAACAGGAGAUGUUACAGGUCAGCAACAUGAAUUCUAUAUGUGAUCACUUGUCAUGUACUCAUAUUGUUUGAACUAAAAAAGACUUCAGUGUGUUUCAUAUAAGGUCCUCAUAUUUUUCUGAACCACAUUAGUGUGUGUUACAAUGUUUAAUUCAAAGCUUUAAAAUGAGUGUUUCAAUCCAGGUCCUCAUAUUUUCUGAACCACAUUUUAGUGAAUGUUACAUUCUUAAAUAAUAGUCUAAGAGCUAAAACGCUAUAAUAAUCUUUACUGUUUAUGUAGAAUUAUAUGCUCAGAAUAUUAUCAACCAAAAGUGGUUGUUAAUGUUAUAAUUAAUUAGUUCUGACAUUAUAUUUUUGUGUUUUGUUGCAGACACCAACUGUUGGGGUUCUAUCUCAACAUUUUCCAGAUUCAGAUGUGAGCGAUAAACCGACUUCAUCCCUCCAACAGAAACCAACUGUUGAGGUUCCAUCUCAACAUUCUCCAGAUUCAGAUGUGAGCCAUUAACUGACUUCAUCCCUCCAACAGAAACCAACUGUUGAGGUUCUAUCUCAACAUUCUCUAGAUUCAGAUGACAGCCAUAAACCGACUUCAUCCCUCCAACAGAUUGACAGCAGGACAAAUCGCUGGAAGUGGGUAUGUCUCAAGCUUCUUCCACUUGGUCCACUCCAAAGCGGGCUGCAAAGGGGAAGAAGUGGAAGCAGUUGAAUGACACAUGUUGCAUUUUGUAACUGGCAACAAAGUACCAGGUAAAAAAGAUUGUGAAGCCUGCCUCCAUAAAGAACUAGUAGCUCUACAGGACAGAGAUUGGCUUGCCAUCAAGUACUACAUCCAUAACAGAAUUAUAUUAAAAAAAGGGGAAAAAAAUGUUUUCCCACAUCUUCUGUGGUAGUUUGAGUAUGUUACCAGCAAUUAAAAAAGCAAAAUAAA